GACGAACGCUGGCGGCGUGCCUAAUACAUGCAAGUAGAACGCUGAAGAGAGGAGCUUGCUCUUCUUGGAUGAGUUGCGAACGGGUGAGUAACGCGUAGGUAACCUGCCUUGUAGCGGGGGAUAACUAUUGGAAACGAUAGCUAAUACCGCAUAACAAUGGAUGACACAUGUCAUUUAUUUGAAAGGGGCAAUUGCUCCACUACAAGAUGGACCUGCGUUGUAUUAGCUAGUAGGUGAGGUAAUGGCUCACCUAGGCGACGAUACAUAGCCGACCUGAGAGGGUGAGCGGCCACACUGGGACGGAGACACGGCCCAGACCCCUACGGGAGGCAGCAGUAGGGAAUCUUCGGCAAUGGGGGCAACCCUGACCGAGCAACGCCGCGUGAGUGAAGAAGGUUUUCGGAUCGUAAAGCUCUGUUGUAAGUCAAGAACGGGUGUGAGAGUUGAAAGUUCACACUGUGACGGUAGCUGACCAGAAAGGGACGGCUAACUACGUG
rnacentral:rRNA from 1 species